rnacentral:rRNA from 1 species
ACCGUACCACCCUGAAUACACUCGAUCUUGUCUGAUCUCAGAAGCUAAGCAGCUUUGGGCCUGAUUAGUACUUGGAUGGAAGAAAUUCCGAUCCUACAGGUU